CCGUUCAUCUAAGAUCAGGUGGUUUAUAAUCACUAGGAGUUCUCACAAACCCUAGGUCCCUAACCCUUUUCUAUUCCUCGUGCACUGUGCAGCCAUGCGGCCGUGUCGUGCGAGGGCUUGGAGUUGGAAGCACCGAGCACGCGAGUCCGAGAGGAGGGGAAGAUCGCCGCGGUUAGGAGGAGGGGAAGAAGAUCGCCCCGAGUCUGAGAGGAGGGGAAGACGAAGAUCACCGCGGUUAGGAGGAGGGGAAGAUCGCCGUGGUUAGUAUUUUAAUGUUCUCAUAAUUUCGCUACUGCCCCAAUUUUUUAUUUUCCUUUUCUUUUGUUUUUGGUUUCAAUCGAUCUAGGUUAAGCAAGUUUUGCAAGGAUUUCUCACUUGAUUUAGAUUUUUAUUCACAAGGUUCUGAAGAUUUUCUUUUGGAUCAGCAGUUCUUCCGAUGAAGUGAGAGCUUCGUUACUUUUUUUCCUUCUUUGUGAAGUUGUUGCUCUUCUGGUCCUUGGUGUUCUCCGAUUCCGGCUUCUUUCUUCGGUGGAGUGAGAGCUUGGAACCCUAGGAUCGUCAGAUCGGACGGCGGAUCGGCCCAGAAAAUAGAGUUGAGAACCGUUUCUUGGAUAGGAGAGGUGGAAGCUCCUGGAAUUAGCUGGAUCUCUCUCAUUGCCGAAAGCAAUUCCAUUACUUGGAUCUUAAAUAAGAUUAUCAUCUACCUCAUGUUUGUGAAUGUCUGCACUGUAAUACUAAUUUGGUAAAAGGUGUGCUUUUUGCCUGGCGCUGUUUGGAAUUUUCUGAGAUUUGGUAGCAUGAGCACAAGACGGGGUUUUAAUUUCCAUUUGAUAUUAUUUAAGUGUCAUACGGUAUUUUCUUGAGCAUACUGCUACCCCAAGGAUAGCACUAAAUCCUUUAGCUGACCUAUCAACUAUGUGAGAACAUUAUCUGUUGUUUGAUUUGAAGUACUGCUUUGUUUAUUCCUUGAGAGCAGAGAUCAAUGAAAUUCCAUACCGCCUUGUGGUUGCUGGUCGAUUUUUCUUCAACAUGCGUGGUCUUUGAAACUUGUAUUUGUGGAGG